rnacentral:rRNA from 1 species
AGCUCCAAUAGCGUAUAUUAAAGUUGUUGCAGUUAAAAAGCUCGUAGUUGGAUUUCUGGACUUUGAUUGUGGUCUGCCGAAAAGGUGUGUACUGCAAGUUAAGGUUCUUUAUUUUCUGAAAUCGGCACGUGUCCUUAACUGGAUGCGUGUUGGGUUCGGAACUUUUACUUUGAAAAAAUUAGAGUGUUCAAAGCAGGCUAUCGCUUGAAUAGAUUAGCAUGGAAUAAUGGAAUAGGACUUUGGUUCUAUUUUAUUGGUUUCUAGGACCGAAGUAAUGAUUAAUAGGGACAGUUGGGGGCAUUAGUAUUUAAUUGUCAGAGGUGAAAUUCUUGGAUUUAUGAAAGACUGACUACUGCGAAAGCAUUUGCCAAGGAUGUUUUCA